CGUUCUCUCGCGCGUUUCGUCGAGAGUAACGGCUGUACACAGGCUAAAGUUUUGUGAAAUCAACUGUAAAUAAGAACUCAACUCGUACAAACUGGCAGGUAUUGUGAUUCUAUAUUUAUCCCCAUUUCAGGACAGAAAUUAGGUUUGCAAUUGGUUGCUUUAGACUAAUUCUUUACUAUACGCAUCGAAUUAAACUUUCAAUGUAUGUCAAUGAGAUGAAAAAUGACGAGUAGCAAGCCUUUAAAUUAAAAAAAAAUUCGAACACGGGGUGCCAGAAAUUAGAUUCCUCCUACCUUAAGUAUAUACAACAUGACUAAUAUCGAUAUUCACCCAAAAGUAAAAAAGACAAGUUGACUGCAUGGAAUGACCAUAUGAAAACUGCAUUUCAAUUUUGUUCCUGAUGAAAUUUUAAUUUUUUAAAGGAAAAAUUAAGGAGGUAAUAUGCAGGAACUGUUGUGUUGAAAAGACCGCAACCAUUAUAGCAGCGUAUAUAUACUUAAUGUCUGCUCCAGAAGAAAAUAGUUUUGUUUUCCAACAACCAAAAUAUUUCAAUAUUUACAAGUAUAAGCUAUCAUUCCGUGUUUACACGGCCGCCAUUUUUAUUUUGUCAGCAUAAUCAGCAAUAUGGUACCUUACUUCCCAUCCACCACUGCAUAAACUAAAAGCUGGAAUUGCCUAUUUAAUUACAGCAAUCGUUAAUAUUUUUUAGUUGUUAUUAAUGCAUGUAGGGUUCUGUACAAAAUAUCAAAACUUUACAAAUUUCGAGAAUUAAAUUUAAAACUUGAUGACUUGUAAUUAAUAUCUAUAUCCAUUUACCAAAAGCAUUGUUUGUGCGCUGAGCUGGUGUAAAUUUAUAUGAAUAUCGGUAGGAAUAUGUUCUUAAGACAAUAUAGACAUAUCAAUCUGGGACAUAUACGUAUAGAUAGAUAGAUUUAGAUAGGUAGAUAGAUAGAUAGAUUGAUUGAUUGAUAGAUAGAUUAUUUAAUAAGAUUUUACAUCGCAGCCCAAAGUAGCUGAAUUGCGUAAAAUAUACAAAACAUAUAAAUUAACCGUAGGCAGGGCCGUCCUCAGGGAAUUCUUCAGGGGGGGGUGUAAGGCCAUUUCAACCGACUAGUGCAGAAAAUUUUUUCCGGAACAGAUUAUUUUUGGCGACCUCCCCCUCGUCGCCAAAAACAUUUCGGUCAGUGUACCAUUUUAGGGGUCCAAAAAUUUUUCCGGACAUACAAAAAUUUUCCGGAACAUUAAAAAAAUUUUCCAGAUAUCACAAAUUUUCUCCAUUUUUCCAAAAUUUUUUUCUAAAAUUCCGACCCCGAUCUUGCCCUUUGCGCGAAAAUAUUUAACCCAAAUAGCAGUUCUACCGACUGGAUAGCAGUCCUACCGACUGAAUACAAUUUCUGGGGGUGUCACACCCCCCACACCCCCCGUAGCUCUGGGCCUGACUGUACGUUAUAAAGGAUUUCGGAACCAAAAUAUUCAUAUCGGAUCGGAUUGAUAAAGUUGCAUGUUUCGUAGUCGGAUCGGACUUCGAUAUCCGAAAUAAAAUGAAUUUAAUUAUCCACGCAUUUAUCAAAGCAUUAUCGCGAUUGUCGCUGCACGUCACUUUGUCAGCUUCUUGACAUGUAUUUCUUGCUUUUAUAUUUAUUUGGUUAAAUAUUUCAACUUGAAUGAGAAAUUUAUUUUAUUAAAGAAAUCUUCGGAUCCGAUUGGAAUUUUUUAUCAAAACUCGGAUUCGGAUUAGACAAUUUCGGAUCGGAUUAGCUAAUUGUCGGAUUAUAAACGUCCAAUCCGAUCCGAUGCACACCAUUAAACUUACGCAUGUUAUGAAAACAAUUCAUGGCAAACCUAUUUCUUUCAGUAAAUUAUUUUGACAUUGCCGAAAUAUAAGAGUUUCUAAAACGAUUGGUUCGUAUAGUAGUCGUAUAGACCGAACAAUAAGUAUUUUUUAGAGAAACGUGAAACCUCUAAUAUUUUCAGUAAAUUGAUAUUUAAGUAUUUCUCGUGAAGGGUGAAAUCCUUUAUUUAUUUUACGUGAAACGAGAUUUAAAGACCAAUUUCUCGUGAAAGGUGAUUAGAAAAUUUUAGGAGAGACCAUUUCGUUUAUCAGUGAGAAAGAGUGGAAAAUUAAUUAGCAAACUAAUGAACAUUUUUAUCUUGCUUCCACUGAAGUUCAUAAACUGUACAAUACCUACACGCCGUUUAGUGAAGCAAAAUAAACAUUUCAACAACAGCGUCUUACUAAUUUCCGUGAAACGAACGUUUUUCUUCGUGAAUCGUGAAAUUACGGAUUUAUUUUCCAUGAAACGUAAUCAGUACUAUCCGAAUUAUUUAAAUGAAAGAUACUAGAUAAAGCCUCUCGCACACAGCAAGAACUUUUGGCUGAGCUAACCGCCACGCAGUGGCAACACGCGGUUUUGUUGCGGAUUUUGACGCGCGUGACCGUGAGGAAAAAUUGACGUGUUUGAUUAUUUUGUCCACGCGAGGCCCCAAGGUCGCACCGUGUGCGGACGUUGUGACGCUCAGCUGUGAAUAUGUAGUAGCCAAUAAAAGCACAUAUCUUUCUCACGUGGUACGUGAUAUUUGCCGCCAUUUUGAAAUUUAGAGGGAAAUAGAAUCUUAGCUUAACACUUUACUUUUAUAUGAUUGCGACAAACAUAUAUAGAGAUGAGCUAACCGCCACGAGUGAAGACUAGCUCGGCUAAAUGCUCUCGUGUGCGGCAGGCUUAAAUGCAAAAUAUGCCGAUAUGCAUGAACACUUGAAAUUUUUCAAAUUUGUCCGCGGCUGCAACACUUCUGUGCCGAUACUCAAUAUAAAUCUGAUUAAAUAUGUCAAAACAUUAUUUUUACGUUAUAACAGGUAGCGGCAACUAUAAACAAGCUCCAGGAUCCUUCAUAUUCUCUCUUCGCAACAAAGAAAAUCUCCCGCCUUUUAAAGCCCCACUGAAAGAUCAAAAUACUCCGUACGCAAUUAACGCAGUGAUUAAUUAUGGACCAAUAUUUGGAGCAGGUUAUGAUCUAUACAUAUCUAAUGAUGCGGGUUCGAAUACCGUUUCAGGCACAACUUUUAAUCACAACUACCAGGCUCCAUCUGGUGUCAGCGACACAAGCACCAUCCUGGCUGGAACAAAUAAAUUUCAACCGUCAGAAAUUGAAGUUUUCCAUAUUGUCUAGAACUUAUCUUAAUAUAUAUUCGUGCACUAAAUAUUCUUAUUAAAGUGGUCAUGCAAUGAAAUUUUUCGCCAUUUUUUAUGAUUGCGUUGUGAAGAAAAUUCAAAUUGACAGAAUAAGUCACUUUCCCAAACUAUCUUAAGCCGGUUUUCCACUAGGCGGAAUUUUUCUUUGUCUUGUAAUUUUUCGGGUGGAAUUAAUUAGAAAAGCUAAAGAAAAAUUUCGCUCCGCGCGCAAAAUUCCACAUAGUGGAAAUCCAGCUUAAGGCGGUUUCGCCACUAGGCGAAAUUUUUCGACCGAAUCGAAAUUUCUCUUUGUCUUUUUACAAUUAGUUCUGCUCGAGAGCUCUGAAACAAAGAGCUCUGAAACAAAGAGAAAUUUCGAUUCGGUCGAAAAAUUUCGCCUAGUGGAAAACCGCCUUUACAAGCACUCAGAUGGAACUAAACAGAAAUCUUUUGAAUUUGAACAAUAGAAAUUUCGGUUCGAUCGAAAAAUUUCGCCUAGUAGAAAACCGCCUAAAGUACAAGCACUCAGAUGGAACUAAACAGAAAUCUUUUGAAUUUGAACAAUAGAAAUUUCGGUUCGAUCGAAAAAUUUCGCCUAGUAGAAAACCGCCUAAAGGCCUGAUUCCACGGGCGCUUUUUCUCGGCGAAAUGCGAAAUAUUUCGCCUGUUUCUUUUGAAUUGCGACCACUCGAAUAAAUUAUUUCUACUUGAUUGCCCACAAUUCAAAAGAAACAGGCGAAAUAUUUCGCAUUUCGCCGAGAAAAAGCGCCCGUGGAAUUAGGCCUUUAAAGGCCUGAUUCCACGAGGCGGAAUCUCGAGAGCUCAUG